UACAGAGGUCUCAAGCGUUGUUCGGAUUCAUUGGGCGUAAAGGGUGCGUAGGUGGCGUGGUAAGUCGGGUGUGAAAUUUCGGAGCUUAACUCCGAAACUGCAUUCGAUACUGCUGUGCUUGAGGACUGGAGAGGAGACUGGAAUUUACGGUGUAGCAGUGAAAUGCGUAGAGAUCGUAAGGAAGACCAGUGGCGAAGGCGAGUCUCUGGACAGUUACUGACGCUGAGGCACGAAGGCCAGGGGAGCAAACGGG
rnacentral:rRNA from 1 species